AUGCCAUUAAUUUGGUGUUAUGGGGAAUUUGGACUGUUACUUUGAAAAAAUUAGUGUGUUUAAAGCAGGCUAACGCUUGAAUACAUUAGCAUGGAAUAAUGAAAUAGGACGUUCGAUCCUAUUUUGUCGGUUUCUAGGAUUGACGUAAUGAUUAAUAGGGAUAGUUGGGGGCAUUAGUAUUCAAUUGUCAGAGGUGAAAUUCUUGGAUUUAUUGAAGACUAACUACUGCGAAAGCAUUUGCCAAGGAUGUUUUCAUUAAUCAAGAACGAAAGUUAGGAGAUCGAAGACGAUCAGAUACCGUCGUAGUCUUAACCAUAAACUAUGCUGACUUAGGGAUCGGAUGAUGUUAAUUUUUUAAUGACUCAUUCGGCGCCUUACGGGAAAC
rnacentral:rRNA from 2 species